GGCAGACAAGUGGGAGGUCUCCUCAGAAUUGUCCUCCCCAGACUCCUGGACUGCCAAAGCAGUAGAAAUGGAGGGAUGUUGUUCGGUUUUCUUCCUCGUUCUGAUGGACUAACUGUCACGUUACCAGACGGGACAUCGGCGGUGUGUGGACCUGAAACCACACGCAAAGGGCAGUACCUGGUACAACCGGUGAAGGGUGAAAUAGCGGAGAUAUACUGGGGACUAUGGAUACCGGAAAAGCAGGACAAACAGGGUAUUUUGUCCCAGUACUUCAAGUGGAGGCCGUGGAUCUCCUUCCUCGAGCCGUACUUUCCUCCGCCAGAACCCCCACAUGUAACCCUAUUUUAUGAUAGGCAGGGCGAGGAGGUGUAUAAAGAGGGGUUUGGGGAUGUAAUGUGUGGGGACACGUGGCAGGUCGGGUCUAAAUUCAUAUAUGUAGGCCCUGAAGGGGUAGCGGCAGAUGUACAGUUGACAGAGGAGCAGGAUCGGUGGUACAUGAUGGCGGAGGAGUCCGUCCUGUAUGUGUCACUGGCCCUGCAUCCUAAACACCAAGCAAAAGACCUGGGGCCCAUGGUUAAAAGGGCGGUCGAAUGCACUGAUUGGACACUCAUUUUAUACUUCCACUACGCCCAAAAGAUAGAGGCAUUAAGUUAACAAAACGAGUGUGCCAUUGGCCCAAUCCCAGUUCUAUUCACCAAACGUAUGGUACUCACCCAGCUGUAAGACGUAUCGGUUAGAGGCACCAGGGACGGAUGGGGUAUAUUAAGAGCGAAGGGAGAUAACUCUGGAUCAUGGGAGGGAAAAGAUGGAUCACCCUGUAGCCACGGCCAGACUUAAUGAGUUACCAGACUUACUGUGGUCCAAGGGCCCCACGGACGUGGGGCUCACCGAUUGCCCACCGGUCACCUUUAAAAUCGGACCGGGAGAGCCCAUAUGGCUGCCCCAAUACCCACACAAACCAGAGGCAGAGGAAGGGUUAGAUGUGACAUUGAAUGGUUUGUGGCCCACAGGGAUGUUGGAGGAGUCAUGUUCCGCGUGGAACACGCCUAUCCUCCCGGGAGAAAAGAAAGGGACAGUGAAAUACCGUAUGGCCCAUGAUCUCAGAGCUAUUAACAACAUUUUACUCACACCCACUAUACCGGUACCUAACCCGUAUGUAGCACUCACUAAUUUGACCCCGGAUCAAAAAUGGUUCACCUGCAUUGACCUGGCUAACGCUUUUUUCUGUCUCCCACUAGCAGAGGAACGUUGUGAUAUUUUUUCUUUCACACAUAGGGGUCGACAAUGGCGAUACACGAGACAACCACAGGG
ensembl:lncRNA